rnacentral:misc_RNA from 1 species
AGGUCUUGAGACAUAGUGACUGGGUAUGGAGCCUAGCUCCACAUGACACUACGGUAGCUAGCACAUCAGGUUCAGAUGUGUAUGUUUGGGACACUUGUAGUGGGACUCUGCUUACUGUCAUUAAUCAUGCUCAUGUUGGUAACACUUAUUCUCUGGCAAGAAGCCACACAGGGGACUUUCUUUUUACUGGAGGAGAAGAUGGGGCAAUACAUAUGUUUGAGAUCAUAGGUCACCGUCACAUGGCAAAUGUUUUUAAGGUUGCUACUUGGAUUCCUCACUCUGGUCCUGUGUAUUCCCUUGCGUUCGAAUUUCCAUGGUUGAUUUCAGCUUCUAGUGAUGGUAAGUUGUCACUGAUAGAUGUUAGAAAACUACCAAGGACAAGCAGACGCUCCUUGGGAAAGAAUAUUUCAAGGGCUAAAAAUGUGGACUGCAGUGUGGAACC